rnacentral:tRNA from 1 species
GUCAGGAUGGCCGAGUGGUCUAAGGCGCCAGACUCAAGUUCUGGUCCUCGUAAGAGGGCGUGGGUUCAAACCCCACUUCUGACAUUU